AGCUUGCUCUCUGAUUCAGCGGCGGACGGGUGAGUAAUGCCUAGGAAUCUGCCUGAUAGUGGGGGACAACGUUUCGAAAGGAACGCUAAUACCGCAUACGUCCUACGGGAGAAAGCAGGGGACCUUCGGGCCUUGCGCUAUCAGAUGAGCCUAGGUCGGAUUAGCUAGUUGGUGAGGUAACGGCUCACCAAGGCGACGAUCCGUAACUGGUCUGAGAGGAUGAUCAGUCACACUGGAACUGAGACACGGUCCAGACUCCUACGGGAGGCAGCAGUGGGGAAUAUUGGACAAUGGGCGAAAGCCUGAUCCAGCCAUGCCGCGUGUGUGAAGAAGGUCUUCGGAUUGUAAAGCACUUUAAGUUGGGAGGAAGGGCAUUAACCUAAUACGUUAGUGUUUUGACGUUACCGACAGAAUAAGCACCGGCUAACUUCGUGCCAGCAGCCGCGGUAAUACGAAGGGUGCAAGCGUUAAUCGGAAUUACUGGGCGUAAAGCGCGCGUAGGUGGUUUGUUAAGUUGAAUGUGAAAGCCCCGGGCUCAACCUGGGAACUGCAUCCAAAACUGGCAA
rnacentral:rRNA from 1 species